UACCUUAAAUUUAAAUACAGUGAAAAUAGGGGCAGAGCUUUGACUGGACUUAAAUCAUGAGGCUAGAAUACUAUUUAGAAAUUGAAACAAUAUAUAUAUCAGAUUUUUGAGACAUGAUUUCGAAUAAAUUUUUUAAUAAUUAUUUUUAAAUUGAUUGUUUAAAUUAUUUCUGAAAUUAGUUGAUAUGAUUCAUACAAAUUCGACUUGUCAGCUUAUAUUAGGUUUACUAUGAAUUAAGUCUUAACAAAUUGUUUAAAUUAGGAUCAAAUGAAUGGCCUGAAAGUUCUGCAGGUGAAUAUGGGUGGAGAGCUCUCGACCACUGUCGAAUCGUUGUGUUUAUUUGACCCAACCGGUUUCACCCCUAAGUCCACACGUGUGCAACCACACUAAACAGUGCUCUUCGUCAGUAUCAGGGUUGGGCCCAUAUCGGCCGUGAAUCAUAUCUGUAUUUAGAUCCUUCUCUCAUAUUCA
rnacentral:lncRNA from 1 species